UCUCAGAGAUUAAGCCAUGCAUGUCUAAGUACAUACCUUAAAACGGUGAAACCGCGAAUGGCUCAUUAAAUCAGCUAUGGUUCCUUAGAUCGUAAAUGCUACAUGGAUAACUGUAGUAAUUCUAGAGCUAAUACAUGCAAUUAUGCCCUGACUCGCAAGGGAACGGGUGCAUUUAUUAGAACAGAACCAACCAGGUAUGGUCUCGGCUGUGCCUGUUGCAUUCUGUGAUGACUCUGGAUAACUUUAUUGAUCGCAGUCGGCCUUGUGUCGGCGACGGAUCUUUCAAAUGUCUGCCCUAUCAAUUUGUUGGUAGGUGAUCUGCCUACCAUGAUAAUAACGGGUAACGGGGAAUCAGGGUUCGAUUCCGGAGAGGGAGCCUGAGAAAUGGCUACCACAUCCAAGGACGGCAGCAGGCGCGAAAAUUACCCACUCCCGGCACGGGGAGGUAGUGACGAAAAAUACGGAUACGGGACUCAAUUGAGGCUCCGUAAUUCGAAUGAGUACAAUUUAAAUCCUUUAACGAGGACCAAUUGGAGGGCAAGUCUGGUGCCAGCAGCCG
rnacentral:rRNA from 1 species